rnacentral:rRNA from 1 species
AAAUUGAAGAGUUUGAUCAUGGCUCAGAUUGAACGCUGGCGGCAGGCCUAACACAUGCAAGUCGAGCGGAAACGAGUUAUCUGAACCUUCGGGGAASGAUARCGGCGUCGAGCGGCGGACGGGUGAGUAAUGCCUAGGAAAUUGCCCUGAUGUGGGGGAUAACCAUUGGAAACGAUGGCUAAUACCGCAUGAUGCC